GGGGUGGCAGACCUGAAGGCGGUAAAGUGUGACACACUGGAUGAAACACUUCCUGAGAUGAAAACACCAAAGCUCUGGAAGAGCCCAAGACCUUUCGUCUUGAAAACCAACCACACCUUUUCCUUGGUGAGUGUAAAAGAAGAGGAAGAAGUCACCACACAGGACAGCUCUGUCUUCCAAGACCUUUCUGUGAAACCAAGGAUCUGAAAAUUUAAAUCUAAAAGCAAAAAAGUAACAUCUGGUUGCUGUGUGACACUGCAAGUUGAAAUCAUUCACAAAUUUAUUCCAUAACAUUUCAGCAUGAUGAUGAUUAGGAUUUUCAAGCUGGAAAAUGACUAAUUAAGCUGAUUUUAGCCUGGCAGCUGCUCCAGUGUUGCAGGGUUGCAGAUGACGACACUGGCUCCAGGCCCAGCAGCCGCCCCCUGCAGGGCCUGGGCCACAGCCCUGGACGGGGCAACCACCUUGCUCCAGUCGUGGGCGAUGUACUGGUGAUAAGGAUCAUGGGAGUUCUCCAGCUUCUUGGAGCGAAUGUAGCUGAACAUGAUGCCAAAUGUGAAGAAACUGAACAUGCCCACCACCAGAAGAAUGUACAUAAAGCCCUGAGACUGAGCGUGACCUCUGGCCCCGCUGUGCUGCAUGGCCUGCUGGGAAGUGUAGUUUUGGGGUUUCAGUCCAGCUGUUUCAUUCAGGCAGUGCUGUAGGAUGGAGAGCAGGAGCGACUGCAGCUCUGUGGUGUUCAUAUGAAGCAUUGCUGACCUCUGCUGGGAGCUGAGGGAACUGCAGCUGCAGAAACUUGAGAGGGAGACUUCAACUUGAGGAUUUUCUCUGUAUGAGAAAAGUGUCUGACAGCAAAAACAUAAACAUCUGAGAGCUCAAAUCAGAACACUGUAGGAGGACACACAAAAUUCAAGGAAACACCACUUUUAAGUAGCAAUAUUACAGCUGUGUAGAGUGGGGAAAGUGAAUGGGAGCCUGUGUGUACAAAUAGCUUCUUGGAGAGAACACCAAUUCAACCCAGAGGAAAGAUUUGCUGCUUAACAUCACCUUCUCUUUAUCUCCACACAAAUACUGAUAUUAGUAUAACUGAAAGCCCAGUGGGCAGAGCAAAAAGGAGAUGUAAAUGAGUAUAUACUGUAAAUCUAUAUUAAGUGUGAGUGCUUGAGAUAAAUUUUGAAAGUGUAAUUUCUCAUUUGUAGAUGGCUACAGUCACAAAUAGCUGACAAUUCUGAGAUGCUGCUGUUUAAUGAUCUAUCAGAGACUUGGAAUAGAGUGAAUGCAUGUGAGGAAAAUGAAAUAAGCCAUUAUUAUACAAGCCAGCCUUUGGUUGUUUCUUAAGAGCACAACUUUAAAACUGUGAGGGAAACGGUCAAAAUCUCACAGUGAUUUGAAAGUUAUACUAACAAGAAAUACAUUAGCUGAA